UACGGAGGGAGCUAGCGUUAUUCGGAAUUACUGGGCGUAAAGCGCACGUAGGCGGCUUUUUAAGUCAGAGGUGAAAGCCCGGGGCUCAACCCCGGAAUUGCCUUUGAGACUGGAUCGCUUGAAUCAUGGAGAGGUCAGUGGAAUUCCGAGUGUAGAGGUGAAAUUCGUAGAUAUUCGGAAGAACACCAGUGGCGAAGGCGGCUGACUGGACAUGUAUUGACGCUGAGGUGCGAAAGCGUGGGGAGCAAACAGG
rnacentral:rRNA from 1 species